GCACCACAAGAACGCGUGGAGCAUGUGGCUUAAUUUGACUCAACGCGGGAAAUCUUACCGGGUCCGGACACACUGAGGAUUGACAGGCAAUAUCUCAUGUUAACGGUAAGUUUACUUACCGCUUAACAUCGAGUGUUAAAUAUGCUAGUCCUUUCAUGAUUAUGUGAUAGGUGGUGCAUGGCCGUUCUUAGUUCGUGGAGUGAUCUGUCUGCUUAAUUGCGUUUCACUAAGGGCCCAUAAAUUCAAGGUAUGUUAGCUCUCGUCGCUCUAUGGACCCCUUAACUCCAAUAUUCUUAUUGUGUUAAGCGCGUGUCUUUAUUUUAAGAGUUUUAAGACACUGCGCAUGCUGUUGGGCUCUGAAAGCAACAACGUGACCGCAACGUCUUGUUGCCUUAAACUAGCGUAUAUUGCAAUUUAUUGUAAUAUCGCUUACAGAGGCUAUUUAAAACUAGACGGACCGCUGUUUCUUUCUUAAACCA
rnacentral:rRNA from 1 species